AACGCUAGCUACAGGCUUAACACAUGCAAGUCGAGGGGCAGCAUAAAAGUAGCAAUACUUUGGUGGCGACCGGCGCACGGGUGAGUAACGCGUAUGCAACCUACCUAUCAGGGGGGAAUAACCCGGCGAAAGUCGGACUAAUACCGCAUAAAACAGGGACACCGCAUGGUGAUAUUUGUUAAAGAAAUUCGCUGAUAGAUGGGCAUGCGUUCCAUUAGGUAGUUGGUGAGGUAACGGCUCACCAAGCCGACGAUGGAUAGGGGAACUGAGAGGUUGGUCCCCCACACUGGUACUAAGACACGGACCAGACUCCUACGGGAGGCAGCAGUGAGGAAUAUUGGUCAAUGGGCGAGAGCCUGAACCAGCCAAGUCGCGUGAAGGAAGAAGGAUCUAUGGUUCGUAAACUUCUUUUGCAGGGGAAUAAAGUGCAGGACGUGUCCUGUUUUGUAUGUACCCUGAGAAUAAGGAUCGGCUAACUCCGUGCCAGCAGCCGCGGUAAUACGGAGGAUCCGAGCGUUAUCCGGAUUUAUUGGGUUUAAAGGGUGCGUAGGUGGUUUGAUAAGUCAGCGGUGAAAGUUUGCAGCUUAACUGUAAAAAUGCCGUUGAAACUGUCGGACUUGAGUGUAAAUGAGGUAGGCGGAAUGCGUGGUGUAGCGGUGAAAUGCUUAGAUAUCACGAAGAACUCCGAUUG
rnacentral:rRNA from 1 species